GUGGGUCACAAGCGUUAUCCGAUGUUACUUGGCGUAAAGAGUGCGUAGGCGGUCUUUUAAGUUACCUUUCAAAGCUCCCGGCUCAAUCGGGAAAGGGGAGGCAAUACUGGAAGACUAGAGUUACCUUUAGGGAAAUCGGAAUUUACGGAGGAGUAGUGAAAUGCGUUGAUACCGUAAAGAACACCAAUGGCGAAGGCAGAUUUCUGGAAGGCAACUGACGCUGAGGCACGAAAGCUAGGGGAGCGAACCGGAUUAGAGACCCGGGGUAGUCCUAGCUGUAAACGAUGCUCGCUGGUUGCAUUCUCCCUCCCUUUGGGGGGGAGGGUGUGGCGAAGCUAACGCGUUAAGCGAGCCGCCUGGGAAGUACGGUGCAAGGCUG
rnacentral:rRNA from 1 species